UGGGGAAUUGUUCGCAAUGGGCGCAAGCCUGACGACGCAACGCCGCGUGGAGGAUGAAGAUCUUCGGGUCGUAAACUCCUUUCGAUCGAGACGAAUUCCCUUGGGGUGAACAAUCCCGAGGGGUGACGGUACCGAGAGAAGAAGCCCCGGCUAACUCCGUGCCAGCAGCCGCGGUAAUACGGGGGGGGCAAGCGUUGUUCGGAAUUACUGGGCGUAAAGGGCUCGUAGGCGGCCAACUAAGUCGGACGUGAAAUCCCUCGGCUUAACCGGGGAACUGCGUCCGAUACUGGAUGGCUAGAGGUUGGGAGAGGGAUGCGGAAUUCCAGGUGUAGCGGUGAAAUGCGUAGAUAUCUGGAGGAACACCGGUGGCGAAGGCGGCAUCCUGGACCAAAACUGACGCUGAGGAGCGAAAGCCAGGGGAGCAAACGGGAUUAGAUACCCCCGUAGUCC
rnacentral:rRNA from 1 species